rnacentral:rRNA from 1 species
GAUGAACGCUGGCGGCGUGCCUAACACAUGUAAGUCGAACGUGAGGGUGCAGCAAUGUACCUGAAAGUGGCGAACGGGUGAGUAACACGUGGGUAACCUACCCUUGAGUGGGGGAUAACGAUUGGAAACGAUCGCUAAUACCGCAUACGACCUUUGAUACGGGAGUAUCGAAGAUGAAAGAUUUAUUGCUCAAGGAGGGGCCCGCGGUCGAUUAGCUAGUUGGUGGGGUAAUGGCCCACCAAGGCUGUGAUCGAUAGCUGGUCUGAGAGGAUGAUCAGCCACACGGGAACUGAGACACGGUCCCGACUCCUACGGGAGGCUG